AUGAAUUUACUCUUGGGCACAUGUCUUGGAUUGCUGUUCAACUUUGUUGAUUUUAAUACAGGUGCUGAUAUGAUUGUAGAAAAAAAGAAAGUCUUCCUUGGAGGGCACGUGAGUUUGAUGUGUCUUAAUCUGUUGACACAGACAGACUGCAGUAAAGUUACAUGGCUGUCUAAUGAUGACCCUACCAUUGAGUUGGUCACCCUUGGUAAACUCAAUCCGGACAGGUCACAGAGAGAAGGCAGAGUGCGUCUGAUGUCUGACUGUUCUCUACACAUCAGUGAACUCAAAGCUGGAGAUAAUGGAUGCUACACUUGCCGUCAGUAUUCAGGUGUGCAAGAAAGCAAAAUUGGAGAGGAUGCCAGAAUUUGCCUGAUUAUUAAUAAAACUGCUACUUCCAUGAACAAUAAAGACAGCACUGAUGACAGAGAAGACCUGUUAAUGAUAAUAAUCCCAUCAGUGCUCAUUGUCAGUGCUUUGUCAUUGACUGCACUCAUCAUUUGGCUCAGAUAUCACAGGAGUACACAAAUGAGAACAUCAUUUGAAAAUCAAAAUGUAUUGGAAUUGGAAACCAAAAUAACUGAACGUGAACACAAGAAUGGUGAAGAUGUGAACUACAUUGAGUUAAACUACAAUGUAAUGAAACCAAGGAAAGUGGACAUAGACAAAGUAGUGGACACUGACCAAAAAACUGAAUAUGCUGUUGUAAAAUUUUGCUAAUCGCUGUAAACAUGUUACGCUAAAUAAUUCCUCAGUUGUACAGCAUAAAAUAAGUUGAUUUCAUCGACUGCAUGAGUUAUGUGUGUAAGCACUUCAUCACAGGUUAUGAUUCCCAUUAGGUCAUUGUCUGUAUUUAGUCACUGGAUACUCACAAGUCACAAGUUUAUUGAACUUCUCUCUCUGUCUCUCUCUCUUGUGUAUCCUUUGUCACAACCAUUUUUCCAUUUGUUUGUUUCUCAUUUGUUUACAUUAUGUGCUUCAUUAAUUUAACAUAAACUAUUUUCUGCCUCAUUCUUAACUUCUGUAAAAGAACGUUACAAUUGCACAAAUCAACAGUCAAAUUAAUUCAAACAGUUUUCUUUUUUCAUCUUGACUGGCACAAACUCGACAAGAAACAGAGGACCAAAAACCUGUAAAAGACGGAUUUGUAAAAUAUAUGAAACAGGAGAAAGAAACACAACACAUUAAUGAGUGUUAAAUGUAGUAUGUAAGGGUUAUUGAUGAGGGGACAAUUAAAUGCUAAUAAAGUUGCAAACCACCAUGAGGGGUGUCA
ensembl:lncRNA